UGAUUGGUGAAAGCUUUUGUUAUGAUUAGGGAUUAGGAAAUGUUUUGUUAAUAAACCUAUGAAAGGUUUCCUUUGUCUGUUUUUUCUUGAAAAUAUUAUGGAUCCACUGACAAAGCACAAUCCACUGAUGGUAUUGUAAAAUAAAUAAUACAUUAACAGAUAGGACACAUGCAAUGCAACUUGAGGAACUCCUAGGACGCUGUUCUUAAAUUUAUCUUUGUGAAUCAGGAAUCGUCUGGGUCUUUGAUUGCGGUUGCUGGGAUUGGAAUACCACCGUACUCACCGAGUUAUUUGUCACUGGAACCAUAGUGACGUUGGCGGGGCUCUUGUUGAAAUUGACAACGACUUUUGGUAAUUCUACAAUUGACAGUGUUGACAAUAAGUUGCAUCGUUGUCACAGUUUGUUGGAACCUACGAGAUUCAGAGUGUAUGCUGGGAUGCCUGUUGCAUCUACUUAGAAUAAAUUAUCCAACAUCAAUAUAUCUAUACUCGAUUACUACACCUCAUAUAUUUCAUGAAAUUCCUCUGAAAAAUCACUGUUUUUUAUCCGUAUUAUCCAAUCUAAUAACGCAGUUUUUAUACUAAAGAUUUAUAUAUAAAAUUACAUCCAAUUUAAAUAAACAGUAGUAUUAAAUUAAACAUUGAAUAAAU